rnacentral:lncRNA from 1 species
AGCAGGUGGAGCCCAUGGGCCCAGUGGGGACUAUAUAUGGUGGCCUCCCAAGCUCCUCUGUACUCAGGACAUCUACUCUCUGUUGAAAUCUUUCAGUUUCAGUUAGAUCUAAAGAAGGCUGAUCAUGAGGCUCCUCAGGAUAUUCUUGCUGCUCUCUGUGACUCUGUGCUGCUUCUUGGAUACUAUUCAAGCUCAAGAAUUCCCCCGAGUGGCUAUAUGCCAUUAUAAAAUUCCUGGAUGCACAAGACACUAUAGACCUAUCUGUGGCACUGAUGGUCGUACCUAUGCCAAUCACUGCGUUCUGUGUCAAGAAAAUGAGAAGCACCCUAUGCCUGAAAUGUCCUUCCUUCCCAUUUCUACCUCUUGGACUCCCUAGCUCCAUUGAGAUUCUUUUCAAUUAUUGCUCACUGCACAAAAUAGGUGAUUUUCCCAAAUCUUCCCUCUACUUGAGUCAUUUUCUCCAUUUUCCCCAACCAAUUAC